AGAGUUUGAUCCUGGCUCAGGAUGAACGCUGGCGGCGUGCCUAACACAUGCAAGUCGAACGGAGCCUAAUCAGCAGAAGCGGACAGCUUGCUGGAAGCAGAAGCAGAAAAGGCUUAGUGGCGGACGGGUGAGUAACGCGUGGGUAACCUGGCCCAUACAGGGGGAUAACACUUAGAAAUAGGUGCUAAUACCGCAUAACAACAGAAAGCGCAUGCUUUGUGUUUGAAAACUGAGGUGGUAUGGGAUGGACCCGCGUCUGAUUAGCUGGUUGGCGGGGUAAUGGCCCACCAAGGCGACGAUCAGUAGCCGGCCUGAGAGGGUGGACGGCCACAUUGGGACUGAGACACGGCCCAAACUCCUACGGGAGGCAGCAGUGGGGAAUAUUGCACAAUGGGGGAAACCCUGAUGCAGCGACGCCGCGUGAGUGAAGAAGUAAUUCGCUAUGUAAAGCUCUAUCAGCAGGGAAAAAAAUGACGGUACCUGAUUAAGAAGCCCCGGCUAACUACGUGCCAGCAGCCGCGGUAAUACGUAGGGGGCAAGCGUUA
rnacentral:rRNA from 1 species